rnacentral:lncRNA from 1 species
UUGUUGUUUAUGCUAUUGCAUAUAAAAGAUUUUAUCAUACCAUGACAUUUGACUUCGUUUUUAAUUUCGUUUUCUUUAUUUCCGUAACGAGUUUUGAAACAUGAACUUUAUAUUCUAGUAUUAAUUAACGUACGAGUCUUACGUGGGUUAAAUAAAAUGGAAAAUAUGCAUGCAUAAAUCGAUAAAAAUGGCCUACUGGUAUCAUGAAAGAAAGUGUACGGACUUGGUGCAUAGGGUGAGCCUACCGUGGACAUAUCCUCAACCGUACAGU